AAAUUUAGAGUUUGAAUUCUGGCUCAGGAUGAACGCCGGCGGUGUGCCUAAUACAUGCAAGUCGAACGCGUUGGNCCAAUUGAUUGAUGGUGCUUGCACCUGAUUGAUUUUGGUCGCCAACGAGUGGCGGACGGGUGAGUAACACGUAGGUAACCUGCCCAGAAGCGGGGGACAACAUUUGGAAACAGAUGCUAAUACCGCAUAACANCGUUGUUCGCAUGAACAACGCUUAAAAGAUGGCUUCUCGCUAUCACUUCUGGAUGGACCUGCGGUGCAUUAGCUUGUUGGUGGGGUAACGGCCUACCAAGGCGAUGAUGCAUAGCCGAGUUGAGAGACUGAUCGGCCACAAUGGGACUGAGACACGGCCCAUACUCCUACGGGAGGCAGCAGUAGGGAAUCUUCCACAAUGGGCGCAAGCCUGAUGGAGCAACACCGCGUGAGUGAAGAAGGGUUUCGGCUCGUAAAGCUCUGUUGUUAAAGAAGAACACGUAUGAGAGUAACUGUUCAUNCGUUGACGGUAUUUAACCAGAAAGUCACGGCUAACUACGUGCCAGCAGCCGCGGUAAUACGUAGGUGGCAAGCGUUAUCCGGAUUUAUUGGGCGUAAAGAGAGUGCAGGCGGUUUUCUAAGUCUGAUGUGAAAGCCUUCGGCUUAACCGGAGAAGUGCAUCGGAAACUGGAUAACUUGAGUGCAGAAGAGGGUAGUGGAACUCCAUGUGUAGCGGUGGAAUGCGUAGAUAUAUGGAAGAACACCAGUGGCGAAGGCGGCUACCUGGUCUGCAACUGACGCUGAGACUCGAAAGCAUGGGUAGCGAACAGGAUUAGAUACCCUGGUAGUCCAUGCCGUAAACGAUGAGUGCUAGGUGUUGGAGGGUUUCCGCCCUUCAGUGCCGGAGCUAACGCAUUAAGCACUCCGCCUGGGGAGUACGACCGCAAGGUUGAAACUCAAAGGAAUUGACGGGGGCCCGCACAAGCGGUGGAGCAUGUGGUUUAAUUCGAAGCUACGCGAAGAACCUUACCAGGUCUUGACAUCUUGCGCCAACCCUAGAGAUAGGGCGUUUCCUUCGGGAACGCAAUGACAGGUGGUGCAUGGUCGUCGUCAGCUCGUGUCGUGAGAUGUUGGGUUAAGUCCCGCAACGAGCGCAACCCUUGUUACUAGUUGCCAGCAUUAAGUUGGGCACUCUAGUGAGACUGCCGGUGACAAACCGGAGGAAGGUGGGGACGACGUCAGAUCAUCAUGCCCCUUAUGACCUGGGCUACACACGUGCUACAAUGGACGGUACAACGAGUCGCGAACUCGCGAGGGCAAGCAAAUCUCUUAAAACCGUUCUCAGUUCGGACUGCAGGCUGCAACUCGCCUGCACGAAGUCGGAAUCGCUAGUAAUCGCGGAUCAGCAUGCCGCGGUGAAUACGUUCCCGGGCCUUGUACACACCGCCCGUCACACCAUGAGAGUUUGUAACACCCAAAGUCGGUGGGGUAACCUUUAGGAGCCAGCCGCC
rnacentral:rRNA from 1 species